GACGAACGCUGGCGGCGUGCUUAACACAUGCAAGUCGAACGGAAAGGCCCUGCUUUUGUGGGGUGCUCGAGUGGCGAACGGGUGAGUAACACGUGAGUAACCUGCCCUUGACUUUGGGAUAACUUCAGGAAACUGGGGCUAAUACCGGAUAGGAGCUCCUGCUGCAUGGUGGGGGUUGGAAAGUUUCGGCGGUUGGGCAUGGACUCGCGGCUUAUCAGCUUGUUGGUGGGGUAGUGGCUUACCAAGGCUUUGACGGGUAGCCGGCCUGAGAGGGUGACCGGCCACAUUGGGACUGAGAGACGGCCCAGACUCCUACGGGAGGCAGAAGUGGGGAAUAUUGCACAAUGGGCGGAAGCCUGAUGCAGCAACGCCGCGUGCGGGAUGACGGCCUUCGGGUUGGAAACUGCUUUCGCCUGUGACGAAGCGUGAGUGACGGUAAUGGGUAAAGAAGCACCGGCUAACUACGUG
rnacentral:rRNA from 1 species